GGUUUCUUGUAAUUGUUUAAGAGAUUUGGCCUGCCCACUGAAAAUUUUUUGAAGGGCCGCAGUAUUUUGACUGUGCAAAGGUAGCAUAAUCAUUAGUCUUUUAAUUAAGGGCUGGUAUGAAUGGUUGGACGAGGUGAAUUCUGUUUUAUGUUAAUCUAAUUGAAUUUAGAAUUUAAGUAAGAAUACUUAAAUGUUGUUAAGGGACGAGAAGACCCUAUAGAGUUUAAUAUAUGUAGUAAUUAACUGAGUUAAUAUUUAAUUUUUGGUUAUUAUGAAAUAUAUUUAAUUGGGGUGAUUAGAAGAUAAGAUUAACUCUUCUUUAUGUUUAAUAUUAUAUUUAGUUAAGUGAUCCAUAUUUAAUGAUUAAAAGAUUAAAUUACCUUAGGGAUAACAGCAUAAUUCUUUUUGAGAGUUCAUAUCGAAAAAGGAGAUUGUGACCUCGAUGUUGGAUUAAGAUUAGUUAUGGGUGCAGAUGUUCAAUAACUAGGUCUGUUCGACCUUGAAAAUCUUACA
rnacentral:rRNA from 1 species